GAAGAGAGAGACGGAACGUGACCUUGACCGAAGGGUUAUUUUCAUAAGGGAAGAUGAACGUGAUGUUCGUGGAGCUCAUAUAGUAAGUAAACAUUUGCACACAUGCCGCGUUUGGCAACAGAAUAAUGAAAUAUUCAAAGAUAAAAGCACAUUUCUUAUUAAUAUGCUAGGACAAAUUCG
rnacentral:sRNA from 1 species